rnacentral:rRNA from 1 species
GAUGAACGCUAGCGGCAGGCUUAAUACAUGCAAGUCGAGGGGCAGCAUGAUUGUAGCAAUACAAUUGAUGGCGACCGGCAAACGGGUGCGGAACACGUACACAACCUUCCAACAAGUGGGGGAUAGCCCAGAGAAAUUUGGAUUAAUACCCCGUAACAUAGCGAUGUGGCAUCACAUUGCUAUUAUAGAUUUUUCGCUUGUUGAUGAGUGUGGCGGCUGAUUAGAUGGUUGGCGGGGUAACGGCCCACCAAGUCUACGAUCAGUAGCUGAUGUGAGAGCAUGAUCAGCCAAACGGGCACUUAGACACGGGCCCGACUCCUACGGGAGGCAGCAGUAAGGAAUAUUGGACAAUGGACAAAAGUCUGAUCAAGCCAUGCCGCGUGAAGGAUUAAGGUCCUCUGGAUUGUAAACUUCUUUUAUAAGGGACGAAAAAAGGCUUUUCUAAGUCGUCUGACGGUACCUUAUGAAUAAGCACCGGCUAACUCCGUGCCAGCAGCCGCCGUAACAC